rnacentral:rRNA from 1 species
CCUACGGGGGGCAGCAGUGAGGAAUAUUGGUCAAUGGGCGCGAGCCUGAACCAGCCAAGUAGCGUGAAGGAUGACUGCCCUACGGGUUGUAAACUUCUUUUAUAAAGGAAUAAAGUGAGGCACGUGUGCCUUUUUGUAUGUACUUUAUGAAUAAGGAUCGGCUAACUCCGUGCCAGCAGCCGCGGUAAUACGGAGGAUCCGAGCGUUAUCCGGAUUUAUUGGGUUUAAAGGGAGCGUAGAUGGGUUGUUAAGUUAGUUGUGAAAGUUUGCGGCUCAACCGUAAAAUUGCAAUUGAUACUGGCAGCCUUGAGAGUAGUUGAGGUAGGCGGAAUGCGUGGUGUAGCGGUGAAAUGCUUAGAGAUCACGAAGAACUCCGAUUGCGAAGGCAGCCUACUAAGCUGCCACUGACAUUGAUGCUCGAAAGUGUGGGGAUCAAACAGGAUUAGAUACCCUUGUAGUC